rnacentral:rRNA from 1 species
UACAGAGGUCCCAAGCGUUGUUCGGAUUCACUGGGCGUAAAGGGUUCGUAGGUGGCUUGCUAAGUCAGACGUGAAAUCCCUCAGCUUAACUGGGGAACUGCGUCUGAUACUGGCGAGCUUGAGUGCAGGAGAGGAACGCGGAAUUCCAGGUGUAGCGGUGAAAUGCGUAGAUAUCAGGAGGAACACCAAUGGCGAAGGCAGAUCUCUGGGCCGUUACUGACGCUGAGGAGCGAAAGCAUGGGGAGCGAACAGG